rnacentral:tRNA from 1 species
GCUUUUAUAGCUUAGUGGUUAAAGCAAUAAACUGAAGAUUUAUAUACAUGUGUUCGAUUCACUUUAAAGGCA